GUGACACAGGGAGGCCAGACUCAGUAGC
rnacentral:sRNA from 1 species